rnacentral:rRNA from 1 species
UACGUAAGGGGGCAAGCGUUGUCCGGAAUUUAUUGGGCGUAAAGAGCGUGGUAGGCGGCUUCACAGGUCCGCCUGUGAAAACGUCGAGGCUCAAACCUCGACGCUGUCGGGUGGAAACCGUGUGGGCUAGAGUCCGGAAGAGGAGAGUGGAAUUCCCGGUGUAGCGGUGAAAUGCGCAGAUAAGUCGGGAGGAACACCAAUGGCGAAGGCAGCUCGCUGGGACGUGACUGAACGCGUGAGACGGCGAAAG